AUGUCUCCCCACUCCUGCCGGCUGGCUGGCGCCAUGCAGCCCCGUGAGGAUGAGGAGAGGGAGGAGGAGGAGGAGGAGGAGGAGGCACACCGGGGGAGCAGCCUGUUGCAGGAGGCAACCGGCGCCGGAGGAGUCGCAGCCCUGGCACGGCACCGGGGGAGCGCGGGCCCUCGCACCGGGAAGGGCUGGUGGGAAGCAGUGCUGGGGCUGCGGGCGAGGAGGGGGGAUGAUGGGGCUGGGCGCAGAGCCCGGCGUGGGCCAGGGCGUCGCGGUGCUGGGGGAGCCAGGGCCACCAGAGGGGCCAGGGCUGGGGACGGCCCUCGGGACGAGGGGAGCCCCCGGCCAGGGAUGGGGCCGAGAGGCAGCGUGGCCGCACGGGAGCUGGCCAGAGCGCCGUGGGGCUGCAGCCAGGCACAGCGCAUCUACGCACAGGCAGCGGCUGCUCCAGCCGCGCUGCUUCACCGCCAUAGCGACCGCUUCCCCCCCGGCGCGCGCGAUGCUCGGACCCAGGGAAAGGCAGCGAGCGCCUGCGCCAGGGCCCCAAUCCCCCCUCGCCACGGGCCCCGCGGCCCCGCUGCCUCCUGGACCCCUCCCCGCCGCGGCGCGGCAUGCCCUCCGCCGCCCCAGGGCGGGCACCGACGUGGGGCCGGGAGCCCCCGCCUCCCUCCUCCCCCCUGCACCUGUGGGGGGGGCUUGUGGCGGGAGGCAGGGGAGCAGCACAGAGCUCCGCGCUGCGCUCGGCGGGGGCAAACCACCACGUUUUGCUCCAUUCAUUUCAUCGCCGGCAGCGCCGUUCCCUCGUUUAAAAGACGCAUCUGUCAGUGCUGGCUGAGGACUGGCACUGACCCCGGGAGGUCCCCCUGCCCGGUGCAUGGGCAGCGGGGGCCUGGUGCAGACCGCUGCCCCACAGGCUGCUCCGGAAGUGCCACCCUUGCACUGCUCCUGGCCCUGUAUCCUGCCAGCCACGCCGCCCCACAGGCCCCCCGCACCGUCAGCACCGCGGGAGCCCCCGGGGAGCACAGCUAG
ensembl:lncRNA